GGCUGCAGCCGGUGUCGCUGCCACUCCCGGGAGCAUGAAGGACCGAACACAGGAGCUCCGCACGGCCAAGGACAGCGAUGAUGAUGAUGAUGUCACUGUCACCGUGGACCGAGACCGCUUCAUGGAUGAGUUCUUCGAGCAGGUGGAGGAGAUCCGCGGCUUCAUUGACAAGAUCUCAGAGAAUGUGGAGGAGGUGAAGCGGAAGCACAGCGCCAUCCUGGCCUCCCCCAACCCUGAUGAGAAAACCAAGGAAGAGCUGGAGGAACUCAUGUCUGACAUAAAGAAGACAGCAAACAAAGUUCGCUCCAAAUUGAAGAGCAUCGAGCAGAGCAUCGAGCAGGAGGAAGGCCUGAGCCGCUCAUCUGCUGACCUGAGGAUCCGAAAGACACAGCACUCCACACUGUCCCGGAAGUUUGUGGAGGUGAUGUCCGAGUACAACGCCACGCAGACUGACUACCGCGAGCGCUGCAAGGGCCGCAUCCAGAGGCAGCUGGAGAUCACCGGCCGGACCACGACCAGCGAGGAGCUGGAGGACAUGCUGGAGAGUGGGAACCCCGCCAUCUUUGCCUCCGGGAUCAUCAUGGACUCCAGCAUCUCAAAGCAGGCCCUGAGCGAGAUUGAGACGCGCCACAGUGAGAUCAUCAAGCUGGAGAACAGCAUCCGGGAGCUGCACGACAUGUUCAUGGACAUGGCCAUGCUUGUGGAGAGCCAGGCUGCUUUCCUGAAAUCCGGCCCUGGGCCCCGUCGUAACCCUGAGGGGGCCCUCUGGAGCUCGGGUGCCCCUGGCCCUGCAGGGAGAGAUGAUUGACAGGAUUGAGUACAACGUGGAACAUUCGGUGGACUACGUGGAGAGGGCUGUGUCCGACACCAAGAAGGCCGUCAAGUACCAGAGCAAGGCUCGCCGGAAGAAGAUCAUGAUCAUCAUCUGCUGUGUGGUCCUGGGCAUCGUCAUUGCCUCCACCUUCGGAGGCAUCUUCGGGUAGAAACCACCCCACCCGCCACUCCGCUCUGGAUGGCCCACCCCCAGGAGGCCCCCUGGCUGCUGCCACCUUCUGGCUCGAGUCCUCUCCUCCCCACCCCAUACUGCUCCUUUCUCUGCACAGGGCCCCCCAUUCCCACCCUGCCCUGAGCCGUCGUGUGCAUGAUCUUUGUGACAGUGUGCAUCUGUACAGAGGAGGCAGAGGGGAGCCAGGCUGGGAAACAGCCAGCUGGGUGGGGAUGGGCCAGCAAGGGAGAGACUCAGGCCCUGGCCCAGGCCACUCCCCUUCUAGGCAGGGCCGCCUGGGGUAGUUAGCCAUGCUCCCCUCCCCCGGCCUUCAGUAAUUCCACUCCAGCCUGGGGUCUGCCCUCUCCUGGGAUCAAGGCUCUCUGGACCCCAACCUUGCCUCCUACUGACCAGCCCAUCUGCCCCAUCCUGUGUCCUCUCCAGCUGUCCCCAUAAGCCAAGCCCCCUGAGGGCUGGGGACCAGCUGGCCACAUGGUGCUGCUUUUCAGGUUAGGGGAAGGGUGGCCUUGAGAGACAGCCCAGCUCUAAGCCUCUAACAGCCACUCACUGCCAGGGAGGCUCAGGGUACCGUGGCGGGUAUGGCUUCUGGCCGUGUCAAGACCAGGCUUCCUCCCCUGCCUCGGGGCAGAGUCCAACAGGUCUUCAGCUGCCUCAGCCUCCCUUCCCACAUUCCUACAGCCCCAGGAGCAACCCCUUUGGGCUACGCCUGACCCCAGGUAACAUUCUGGAAGAGGCUGACUGGUGCCUGGUCUCCAGCCGCCCUCGGAGCUAGGGAGGCAGAGCAGGCCCCGGUCAGGCCUCUGCACUGGUGAAGCCCACGGCCCGGGCCAGCCACUCUCCCCGGCAGGCCCUAGUCGGGUCCUCAAGCCAUUGUGUGUUGCAUGUUUGGGACAGUGGUCCCUGCUCUCUUGUGCUCGGGAAGUCAGCGUCCCUUCAGGCGCCCGCGAUCUCGUCCUGCCCUUGCUGCCCACCACUGACAUGCCACGUGGGUGUCAGGUAUCUAGGAUGCAGUAUUCAGCAGCCAGCCAGGGAGGGGCACCUCCCUCCUCCCCACUGCCUCGGGACUUCUCAAGUCUGAGAUGUGCCCCCACCCAAAACCCGUCGCCCGUUGACAGGCAAGGAGCGUGCAUGCGAGCGCAUGCAGCAGGGGCCGGGGCCAGGUCUGGGCCCCGCCUUCCCUCGGCUUUGCUCCUGCCCAGUGACUGUGACCGCUGUCGUGUUGCCUUCUUGAACAGCGACUCCCUCCCCCUCCUCCACCCCUUCACCAAAGGUCUUGGUACAACCAGCUGCCCAUUUUGUGAAAUUUUUAUGUAGAAUAAACAUUUGUACCUGUA